rnacentral:lncRNA from 1 species
GUGUUGACCUUGAUUGUAAUUGUGAUGCUUUUCAUCUGCUUUUUAAUGAGACACAAGCAGAACAAAGCAGAAUCAUCAGCCACAGCAAUGGUAAGUUGUACUGAUUUACUUCUAUGUGGGCAUCGUACAUGAUACUAAAAGAAUAGAGAAAGUGAAACAGUUUCAUAAUUACAGUUUGGCAGAUGUUUGAACUGUGUUUUGUUCUUCAAUGCAGACUGGAGAUGAAGUAACAUACUCUGAAGUCAGACCCAAGAAAAGACGUUCACCCAAGGUAACCAAGUACAGCAGUAUCAAGCAAUUCAAAUCUGAGAAUUUUCAGUGAACAUACCGGUCAUCUGAGAGUACAUUGGAUAUAUAAUCUAUUAUAGAUUCAUUUCUAAUAUGUCUGAGAAAAUUGAAUCCUUAUAUGGGAAACUGUUCUUGUAUUUUUUAUAACUUGCAAAAUAAAACAGCUAUCAGAAGAAAUUAGAUCAUGAGUCACAAAGCUGUAUUUUGCUUCUGAAGAUUCAAACCUCUACCUCUUCUCUUUCAUUUAAAUACUGGUAUUUUAUCAAUAACACUGAUACCUGGCACUUAGACUAGUGAGAGUACUAGAAUAGUAGAGAAGUACCCACCAGAUUUGUAAAUGUAGGUUACCCUAACAUACUAGAACUGCACAUUUACACUUGAGAAUAUACGUAGAGUUUAAUGUAUUUUUUCUUAAAGCACAGCAGAAAUGUAAAUAGUCCAAUUUCUAUAUUUCUUCUCUUCCAGAGUUCAUUUGCUGAAAGUGAUGUGGAAAUCAUGUACAGUUCAGUUGUUAAGAAAAAGUGUACGGAAAGGGGUGACAGAGAAGCCACAGAAGUUACAUACAGCACAUUAGCUGAAAUGUUUUAA